GCCAAAGUGGCGGAACUGGUAGACGCGCACGACUCAAAAUCGUGUUCCUUCGGGAGUGUGGGUUCGAUUCCCACCUUUGGUAC
rnacentral:tRNA from 1 species